UCUUCUUGGAUGAGCAAAGAAAGUGGUUUCUUGAGAUGGAAUCUACUCCUGGUGAAGAUGAGGUGAA
rnacentral:pre_miRNA from 1 species